rnacentral:rRNA from 1 species
UACGAAGGGGGCUAGCGUUGCUCGGAAUCACUGGGCGUAAAGGGUGCGUAGGCGGGUUCUUAAGUCAGAGGUGAAAUCCUGGAGCUCAACUCCAGAACUGCCUUUGAUACUGAGAGUCUUGAGUAUGACAGAGGUGAGUGGAACUGCGAGUGUAGAGGUGAAAUUCGUAGAUAUUCGCAAGAACACCAGUGGCGAAGGCGGCUCACUGGGUCAUUACUGACGCUGAGGCACGAAAAGCGUGGGGGAGCAAACAGG